UACGAAGGGGGCUAGCGUUGCUCGGAAUGACUGGGCGUAAAGGGCGCGUAGGCGGAUGGUACAGUCAGAUGUGAAAUUCCCGGGCUCAACCUGGGGGCUGCAUUUGAUACGUGCUGUCUUGAGUUCGGAAGAGGGUCGUGGAAUUCCCAGUGUAGAGGUGAAAUGCGUAGAUAUUGGGAGGAACACCAGUGGCGAAGGCGGCUCACUGGACCGGAACUGACGCUGAGGCGCGAAAGCGUGGGGAGCAAACGGG
rnacentral:rRNA from 1 species